GGGGUGAGUAACACGUGGAUAACCUACCUAUAAGACUGGGAUAACUUCGGGAAACCGUAGCUAAUACCGGAUAAUAUUUUGAACCGCAUGGUUCAAAAGUGAAAGACGGUCUUGCUGUCACUUAUAGAUGGAUCCGCGCUGCAUUAGCUAGUUGGUAAGGUAACGGCUUACCAAGGCAACGAUGCAUAGCCGACCUGAGAGGGUGAUCGGCCACACUGGAACUGAGACACGGUCCAG
rnacentral:rRNA from 1 species